GUUAACAACAUAAGAGGCCGAACGUUUCCGUUAUUUUGGCCAUGGCAGCAGUAAUCGGAUGGUACGGACCACUGAUUGACCUGUGCAAUGCUCCUUUUCACGUCGGUGAAUAUGUCCAGCUUCUUGUUUUUGUUCACAAGUCUACUCCUCUUCAGUAUAAAUUAUUACAAGGCGGAGAAGUAGUAAGGACUGACAUUCAGGUGGGUGAUGACACACGCCGAUUUUUUUCUAUUUCAGUAUGGCAAAAGAAUAUGGGAUCAACAAUUGUUGCUGGAAGUGUUGGUUUGUUACAGAAUGUCAAAGUGACACGAUUUGGGGAUUUUGUUGAGGCCAGAACAGUGCAAUGCUCAUCCUUUCGGUGUUUUGUUAACUCGCAUAAAUUGCUAUUCUCUGAAGGAGCAGACAGCUCAAUAGAGGAGCUACGAGUCAGCAUAGCAACAAAGGAAAAGCUCAGGAAAGUUGUUGAAUGGGUGCGGCGAUCUGAACUGACAAUCAGCUAUGUGGGACCACAAAGCUCUAAAAAGAGGAAGCUUGCAUCAAUAAACUGGGCAGUUAAUGAAGACACACAAUCUCAGCACUGUUUUUCUCUGUCAGAUGUACUGUAUAUUACUAGUUCCUGUAGGGCAAAGUUCUCUGCAUCUGUUGGUGAAAUAUUUCUCCCAGUUAAGUGGAAGAGCCUCAAUGAAACUGAAGUGGAACGCAGGUUUAUCAAGCAGAGAUUAUGCACAAUGGGCGAUAGAUGUUUAGCGGAUGAUCUUAUUUGCUCUGGCUGCCAGCACUGUGGCGCUCCUCUGAGUUCAGAGCUUGGGUUUAAUAUUGCUCAAGGGACCAAUCCACUCUAUUGUCCAAAAAGCUCAAAUCACAUUCACACAAUAAGCUUGAUAUAUAGACCCUUUAUGUUGUAUGUCUGGGAUGACUUUGAAUAUAUUCCUCUUCUUGUCACAAAUAAACAAGCUGAAGUAUUAUUUGGAAAUAUUAGUGCCGAAAAUGUUUAUUCCUCCUUUAAAAAAGAGAAAGAAGUUAAAAUCAUGGAGUACAAUGAAGUACAAGUGCAAAAUAACUCUGCUGCAAGGGCCAGUGCUCAGAAUAAUGCUAAGACACAGCUACAAAGGAAACAAACUCGGAACACCUAUCUGAUAUGGUUAAUUUUGCUGAAAACCAUACUGCAACAAGGGAAAUGCAGUCCUUUAAGGUUCCAAGUUAAAGUGAAUCCAUCAAAAGAUGUAGAAAGUGGAAGGUUUGAAUUGGUCUCCAUGUCGAUACCUUGUCCUGUCGCAACGUGACAUUUUCAUUGUACAGCUUGACCAAUUUGUAGUUAGGUAAUACCUCAAGCUGAUCACCAAUGUGAAUGACAAGAGCAUUGGGGAUAUACUGUGCAUCUAUCCAAUUGCCUUCAUGAAAAACUUGAAGCCCCUGUACAUCAUUAGGAACAAGUAUUGUCACGACAGACAUGUCGGUGUGAGCCGGAACGCCGAGUGCAAGGUCAGGACGUGGGCAUGGUGGGUAAUAAUUGAUCUUUAAGAGGUAGAUAAGAUCAUCCCCUCCAACUGCUGUCCUUAGCUCAUUCUCCUCCAGUCCUAUCCCUCUCGACAAAUACCUUAGCAGCCUCUCCUCCACCUUAUGCAUAUACUUUGUGUACUCCUCGUUAGCCUCCCUAAAACCAUCCAUAUUCAGUUAACAGCAAGUUCGGGGUUCGAGUCUCGAUUAAAGCACUUAUCGCUGAACAUCGGGUAAGUGUUAAAAUUCUCUUUGCCUUUUAAAGAAAUCAGUGGGAUUUGACACAAAAUAUGUAGUGGUGCAGCAAGGUGCUAAAUGGUGAUAACAUUCAGUAUAAGAUCCAGGUGUUACCUGUAAGAAGCUGGAUUCUUAGGCCAAAACUUAUAAUUAACAGCAGAUGGAGGAGAUAAUAUGUGAAACAAAUGAUCAACCCAGCCUUUAAUUCCAUUAACUUCUUUCUGUAACUUGGUUCCAUAACCCUCCAAACUCUUAGCCCCAGGUGGCUUUGCAUAAAGCUCUUUCUCUUCUUGAGGCAACUCAAAAAAAGUUGUCCCAACUUCUUUAAGUCUACUAACAACAUCAUCAGGAAUCUCAUGAUUCACAAUCUGAAAAAAACCCCACUUGCAGCUCACAUCGUAGAUUUGAGCCACAAGCUUCUCUUCAUCUUUGAUCGAAAAAUCAAUGACCGGGACUUGAGGGAGGUCUCCUUUGUACGUGGUGAGUCCCGGUCUCUCAUCUUCCGGCCUGACAAAUUCAGCCGGAAUGGUAUCACAUGCACUGGCCUCAGAAGCAACAUCUUGGAUCCUUUUUAUCUCUCCCAUCAGAUUUUCCUGGUUCUGUUUUAUUUCAGUGUGGUUUUGUAGGGAAGUUAUAUGUAGGUUGUAGAGAGGAAGAGAAAAAAGAGGGCAGUAGUUGGAAACGGGGAAUUAGUGAUCAUACAUGUGCAACUGAAUGCCGCUUACAUGUAUCUUCAUGGAAAAUAGAUUUUUUCUUUCUCUCACUAAAUAUGCGGACAAAUGGGAAAGAAGAAUCAUGCUUUUGGUACAUAAAAAUAUCAGUAUAAUCACUGUUUCUCACUGAAUUAA